CGGACGGGUGAGUAAUGUCUUGGAAACUGCCUGAUGGAGGGGGAUAACUACUGGAAACGGUAGCUAAUACCGCAUAACGUCGCAAGACCAAAGAGGGGGACCUUCGGGCCUCUUGCCAUCAGAUGUGCCCAGAUGGGAUUAGCUAGUAGGUGGGGUAACGGCUCACCUAGGCGACGAUCCCUAGCUGGUCUGAGAGGAUGACCAGCCACACUGGAACUGAGACACGGUCCAG
rnacentral:rRNA from 1 species